GCUCUUGAUCGAAGCCCGAGUAAACGGCGGCCGUAACUAUAACGGUCCUAAGGUAGCGAAAGUCCUUGUCGGUUAAAUACCGACCUGCAUGAAUGGCGUAACGAGCUGGGAGCUGUCUCAAAGAGGGAUCCAGUGAAAUUGUAGUGGAGGUGAAAAUUCCUCCUACCCGCGGCAAGACGGAAAGACCCCGUGGACCUUUACUACAGCUUGACUCUGCUACUUGGAUAAGAAUGUGCAGGAUAGGGGGGAGGCUUUGAGUAUAUGACGCCAGUUGUAUAU
rnacentral:rRNA from 1 species